rnacentral:tRNA from 4 species
GGGUCGUUAGCUCAGUUGGUAGAGCAGAUGACUUUUAAUCAAUUGGUCGCAGGUUCGAAUCCUGCACGACCCACCA